AAAAAAGCGAGCUACUGGGUGUACCUCCUGGGUAGUUUGGAAAUCACCUAAGAUAUAUAUGUAUAUAUUUAUAAAUAAAAGUUAAUAUAUAUAAAUUAACAUUAUUUUUUUUUAACAGGAAAUGCACAAUGCUAAAAACUGCGUAGGAGAUUUUAAUACAAUAGUACUACCAAGCCUGAUGUUGGCCGCUAUUUCAAUGAAUGCAGCAGUGUCACAGCUAGCAAUCAAAAGUAACAAGAUAUUGAGGAAAUGCAGAUGGCAAUAAACUGUGUAGGAGUUCAUGAUUGCAAUAGAAUAAAAUCGACCAAGCCUGAAGUCAGCAGCCCCUUCAAUGAAUGCAGCAGUGUGACAGCCAACAAUCAAAAGUUACAAGAUAUCGAGGAAAUGCAGAAGGCAAAAAACUGCGUAGGAGAUCAUUAAUACAAAAGUAUUAUAUAAACCAAACCUGAUGUUGCCAGCUCCUUCAAUGAAUGCAGCAGUGUGACAGCCAACAAUCAAAAGUAACAAGAUAUCGAGGAAAUGCAGAAGGCAAAAAACUGCGUAGGAGAUCAUUAAACAAUAGUAUUAUAUAAACCAAACCUGAUGUUGGCCGCGCAUUCAAAGAAUGCAGCAGUGUGACAGCCAGCAAUCAAAAGUAACAAGAUGUCGAGGAAAUGCAGAGUAUAAUAAACUGUGUAGGAGAUUAUGAUUGCAAUAGAAUAAAAUCGACCAAGCCUGAAGUCCUUCAAUGCACGCAGCAGUGUGACAGCCAGCAAUCAAAAGUUACAAGAUAUCGAGGAAAUACAGAAGGCAAAGAAGCAGAUGUCAUCAAAGAAGAUCUUUGUUCCUGCAAUGUUUCCGCAGACGAUACAACCAACAGAGCGAAGUGGAAGGAAAAGACUCGGAAUAAAGACCCCACCACCAUAUGGGAACAAUGCAA
rnacentral:lncRNA from 1 species